rnacentral:rRNA from 1 species
UACAGAGGUGGCAAGCGUUGUUCGGAGUUACUGGGCGUAAAGGGUGUGUAGGCGGUUGUUUUAAGUUUGGUGUGAAAUCUCCCGGCUCAACUGGGAGGGUGCGCCGAAUACUGAAUGACUUCGAGUGCGGGAGAGGAGAGUGGAAUUCCUGGUGUAGCGGUGAAAUGCGUAGAUAUCAGGAGGAACACCGGUGGUGUAGACGGCUCUCUGGACCGUAACUGACGCUGAGACACGAAAAGCGUGGGUAGCAAACAGG